CUUGGCUUCUAAGUCUGUAGGCUAUUGCCAGAUGAGCAGGUGUGCACAGUGAGGAGGAUUCCUUAAGAUUCUCCACAGUACGCUAGUACAUAAAUAUGCAAUUGCUUGUCUAUGUGGUGCUGUUGUGGCUUUGAACGCAAACUGACUAACGCCUGUUUCAGCAGUGCACCAUGCCUUGGUGAGAAGUGGAAGCAGACCUUUAGAGAUGCAUCCUGGACACUCCUUUUGCCCCCCUUGGUGAAAGAAGGAUGGGAUGCUGCCAGGACAGCCACAGUUUCUGCAACACAAAGCUGAAAUUACAAGAUUGUUGUCGUAAGAAAGCAGAAACAGUGUAUGGCACUCCGUGCCCUGCAGUGCUGCCGUUCUUCCGUUGUUUUUACAAACAUUGCUACCUUUCUAGGCAGCCAGGGCUGCUAAUUUCUUCUCAUUACAACUAUAUGAAAAAGAAGUGAGAGAUACCUCUAGUACACCAAUAUUAAUAUGGUGAAUAAUUAAGCCAUCAAGAAAACUGUAUAUGUUUUCAAAGAAGCCAAGCACCUGCACACGGACAAUUUCUGUCUUAUAGCUGUGUUUGAGAAUAGUGAGAAUGGGGAAAAAAAGCCUUUGCUGUAUCUCCUUCAAGACAGACAGGAGUGUGUUUAUUUUCACCAAAUAUCCAUACACAUAUGACACUCUCUCAGAAAUGGACAGUUGCUGGAAGAGUAACACCUUUUUAUUCCUUAUGAUAUAUGUCCCGCACGUGCAUCUCCUGUAUGUGUGCAAAUACAGGAGGAAGGAAGUCCUGGAAGACUUGGGAGCUCUCAGUGGGAAACCAAGGCAAAGGGCACAGUUCUCAUACAAAUGGGCAAAGGUAUCUACAUUCCACAGUGCCAAGCAACCAUCAAAUCCUGAAGAGAUUCCUAAUCCUUAUUCUUGUCCUUCUUCAGGCAUCUGGGCCUCAUUGAAGUCUUGCAAAUAAUUAAGAAUAUUAGACCUCUGGUUACUGAUCAUCUUGCAGAAGUAUGUAUUUCAUCUAUCUGUCCUGGAUUUCUUUUUGCUUCUACCCCAUAUUGUGAGACAGGAUAUUACAAUAAGUUCUUCAUAUUUCUUUGUCAGUGUAACAACAUUCUCCAGGCAAAAUGUGUCACACUUUUCUCCAUCGGAUUGUUAUUUCUCUAGAGCCAUAAAAGUUGGCAUACCAUAAGUGCCAGUGGUGCUUAAAAGCCUGUCUUGAUGGGG
rnacentral:lncRNA from 1 species